GGCCCGGGGUGGUCGUUCACCUGACUCAGGCGCCAACGCUAGGCUGCUCUGUGCGUCCAGCCAGUUGAGGCAGAGGAGGCCCAAAGCGGGAGAGGGCUGGUCCGCCCGGUACAGGUGGCCGUUGUCCCAGAAGCAGCCUGUGAGGAAAAGGAGGCCCUCAGACUCUUGGGGGGCAGGUGGCGAACCAAGGCGCUGUGCUUGGCGAGCAGAGGAGUCCGGGCCCACCUGUCCAUUCUCCUGCCCCACGGGGGUACAGGGAACCCUACUGGGCCUAAAGGUCCUCACGUGGAAACCGCCCUCCCACACCCCCAGCCUUGAAGGGUUGUUGUGAAACCCGAAACAGAGCAGAAGAGAAAGUGCCUGUGAAGCCCGUAGCCAGUGCCAGGAAGCACUGCUCCAGUGCAGCGGGUGGUGACUGAAACUUGUGGCCACUUUGGCCUGACCCGGACUCCCUCCCUUUUGAAGAUGAUGGGCGUUUUGGGGCCGGUGGGCAGCCAGACCUGGAAUUCCUCCCUGUGUUGUCAUGGCUAUGUGUUACUAACUCUGGUGCUCCCUUCUCCGCGGAUACCGCCACACUCCCACUGGCAACACCCCCUCCCAAGAGAAUUCUACAAAAACCUUGAUUAGGUCAGGCAGAAGAGGGAACCUGCCUCAUCGCUGCCAGGAUGUGUCUCCAAACUCCCAGUCCCCUCAGCAGGAGAGCCACAGGGAGAGACUGGGGGAAGAGGGCCUGUGCUCUGAAUACACCGAGCAAAGCCCCUGAAAAGAACAGGACUUAGGGAAUAGGGGAGAUGAAUCCCCCCUCCAAGUUCCAUCCACUCAAAAGCCUCAGGCAAAGAAAAGGAAAGAGAAAGUGGCUAUUUGCCUUUGUUCUUAAUGGCAAAGAUGGAGCUGCAAGCCUAGCAAAGAAAGGAGGAGAAAAAAAAAAAAAGCUUUCAUGCUGAAAUUUUUGUUUUCUGCCUUUUUCCUCUCCAACCUAGUCAUGCUCGAGAAAUGGGGAGUUUUACUCUUUUCUGCUUCAGUAAGUUGCUGCAGAAAGGAAACAUUGUAAUCUCACCUCCAGAUCCAUAGGCUUCUGCGAGGAGCAUGUUGCUGACAAGGAAUGUUUGCACCCAGGCCAACAGCAUCCUCACCUCCUUCAUCUUGCAGGUGGCUGACCAACCAGUGUCCAACUGGGGUCCCCUUGGCGCCAGCUCUGCCUCCUAGUCCCAGCCUUACAGUCAGACCAGCCCUUGUUAUGCUCUUCUGGUAAACAGCCUCUCUUUAGAACUGGGAGCUUCCCAGCUAGCUUGCGGCAGCGAUGUUUUUCGGCUGAAAGGCGCCCCCUGGGUCCUAAGUCUCCUAUGCCAAGCAAAGUCGCUAACCCUGAGCCAAGAGAGGAACUCAGCCCUGUGAAGAGAGGCAAAGAAGUUCAGGUUGCGUGUAGCUGCGGAUCAGUUUGAGACCUGCAUUGGCUGCAUCCCCAGGGCUUGUCAUCUCUUCUGUUUCUGAAAACAGCUGUGCUGAAGUGAGAGGACAAAUCCUGUGACGGGAGAAAGAGUAUCCCAUGCAAAAGGAUUAGCAAGCAAAGUCCCUGAGGUAUAGGCAACAGGGUCAUCUGAUGGAUUGAAUGUUGAAUGUGAGCGGAGGAGAGAGUCAAGGCUGCCCCCAAAGCCUUGGCUUGUGUCACUGGGAAAGUGGAGUUGUCCUUCCCUGAGAUGGGAAAGAUCAGAAAAAGAGUAGGUCUAAGGGAAAUUCUAGCUCUGUUUCUACCUACUAAGUGGAAUAUCUGU